rnacentral:rRNA from 1 species
CUACGUAGGGUGCGAGCGUUGUCCGGAAUUACUGGGCGUAAAGAGCUCGUAGGUGGUUUGUCGCGUCGUCUGUGAAAUUCCGGGGCUUAACUUCGGGCGUGCAGGCGAUACGGGCAUAACUUGAGUACUGUAGGGGAGACUGGAAUUCCUGGUGUAGCGGUGAAAUGCGCAGAUAUCAGGAGGAACACCGGUGGCGAAGGCGGGUCUCUGGGCAGUAACUGACGCUGAGGAGCGAAAGCAUGGGUAGCGAACAGGAUUAGAUACCCUGGUAGUCCAUGCCGUAAACGGUGGGCGCUAGGUGUAGGGGUCUUCCACGACUUCUGUGCCGUAGCUAACGCAUUAAGCGCCCCGCCUGGGGAGUACGGCCGCAAGGCUAAAACUCAAAUGAAUUGACGGGG